rnacentral:rRNA from 1 species
UGGGGAAUAUUGGACAAUGGGGGGAACCCUGAUCCAGCCAUGCCGCGUGUGUGAAGAAGGCCUUAUGGUUGUAAAGCACUUUAAGCGAGGAGGAGGGUACUGGUAUUAAUACUACCAGGUACUGGACGUUACUCGCAGAAUAAGCACCGGCUAACUCUGUGCCAGCAGCCGCGGUAAUACAGGGGGUGCAAGCGUUAAUCGGAAUUACUGGGCGUAAAGCGCGCGUAGGUGGUUCGUUAAGUUGAAUGUGAAAGCCCCGGGCUCAACCUGGGAACUGCAUCCAAAACUGGCGAGCUAGAGUAGGGCAGAGGGUGGUGGAAUUUCCUGUGUAGCGGUGAAAUGCGUAGAUAUAGGAAGGAACACCAGUGGCGAAGGCGACCACCUGGGCUCAUACUGACACUGAGGUGCGAAAGCGUGGGGAGCAAACAGG